rnacentral:rRNA from 1 species
GACGAACGCUGGUGGCGUGCUUAACACAUGCAAGUCGAACGGAAAGGCCCUGCUUUUGUGGGGUGCUCGAGUGGCGAACGGGUGAGUAACACGUGAGUAACCUGCCCUUGACUUUGGGAUAACUUCAGGAAACUGGGGCUAAUACCGGAUAGGAGCUCCUGCUGCAUGGUGGGGGUUGGAAAGUCUCGGCGGUUGGGGAUGGACUCGCGGCUUAUCAGCUUGUUGGUGGGGUAGUGGCUUACCAAGGCUUUGACGGGUAGCCGGCCUGAGAGGGUGACCGGCCACAUUGGGACUGAGAUACGGCCCAGACUCCUACGGGAGGCAGCAGUGGGGAAUAUUGCACAAUGGGCGGAAGCCUGAUGCAGCAACGCCGCGUGCGGGAUGACGGCCUUCGGGUUGUAAACCGCUUUCGCCUGUGACGAAGCGUGAGUGACGGUAAUGGGUAAAGAAGCACCGGCUAACUACGUG